CCUUAGUGUGGCUGCAUGGCAGCGUGCGGGGAUCCACCACAUAUACAGCUUCUACGAAGGAGACAAAAGAUUAUCCUUCCAACAGCUAGCGACAAAAUAUGAUUUACCUCAGACCAUGCAAUACGCAUACCUCCAAAUCGCACACUUUCUAGACUCUCAGAGGGAACAUAGACGACAAGAUGACCUGGGCAAAACCACGUCCCAAUUUGAAAAGACGUGCGUAGGGAUCACACCACUGCGGGGACAACUAUCCACAUGCUAUCGGGCACUAAAUCAGAG